rnacentral:lncRNA from 1 species
UUGAUUUCUUUUACGUAAUACGUUUCAUGUUUCAGGAUAUAUAGCCGCUCCUAAAAUAGCCUGCCUUCUCAUUCUAUUGCGAUUCAAUUAG